CUACCGGGGUAUCUAAUCCUGUUUGCUCCCCACGCUUUCGCACCUCAGCGUCAAUACCUGUCCAGUGAGUCGCCUUCGCCACUGGUGUUCUUCCGAAUAUCUACGAAUUUCACCUCUACACUCGGAAUUCCACUCACCUCUCCAGGAUUCUAGCUGUCUAGUUUCAAAGGCAGUUCCGGGGUUGAGCCCCGGCCUUUCACCUCUGACUUAAACAGCCGCCUACGCGCGCUUUACGCCCAGUAAUUCCGAACAACGCUAGCUCCCUCCGUAUUACCGCGGCUGCUGGCAC
rnacentral:rRNA from 1 species